rnacentral:lncRNA from 1 species
UCAACAUUGUAGCAGGAUAUAGAGCAUCGCCAGGUUUCAGCGCGGGAGGGCUCUCCGACGCGAAAACACGGUACGUCAGAUUUACGUAAGCCCAGAGGGCCCGGGUGCACCGAAGCAUGCUGAAAUAUGGUGAGCUCUUAUGCCCCUUCGUCUUAAAAGUUGUAAUUGCUUUGAUCUACCCUCCACCGCACAGCUGCGACGCGCCGGACAAGAAGGUCGCCGUAGACACGGUUUGCAUGAUCUACAAGGCGUUUCAACGUAUAACAAAUGUACAGGACUUCUAUCGAUAAGACAUAGUUUCCCAUUUAAGGAGCUGCAUAUUGCCCGGCCUACAGGCGCUUGCCGAAAUGUGCAUCUUGUGCUGAGGACCUGCUGCUCGCUGACAAUCCUAUGGGAGGAGAUACUGAACCUUUCCUGCUUGCUGUCAUGCAAUUCCUUCUUCUGAGACUCUUACGCUCCUCGGCUCAACCGUUCGCAUUGUCAUGCUUGCUCGUGUGGCUCGCUUUGCCCAGGCGCCAUGCCGCCUAUGCAAGCGCCGCAAUCGAGCCGUUCAGGUAUCUAGGGUAAGGAGGAGCGGGGCCCUGGCUACUCGCUUCUGCCUGGCGAAUCCGCGAAGUGCGGCUGCCGUGCCCCAGCUACGGCUGCUGAAGCACUUUUAAUUCGGUUGCUAGAGAAAAUCCUCCAAAGCUGCCUAAUCUACUGUCUGCGCGAACGAAUUAGAGGCUAUGGAAAGCGUUAGAUGCAGCUAGAAGGCUUUCCUUCGUCUUCUUUCGUUCUAUCUGCCUGUCAUUUUUAGGUGAAAGCGGCAAUUAGCGGACUCCACACGCCUUGGAUUACCAAAGAUUUUUGCAGAUUCGUCACAUUUUUCUCCACCUGAGGAGGAUUUUUGGCAAAAUGACAACGAACCAGCCGUUAGGAAGAUUUUCCUGGUAAGAAAAAGGUCAUCGGCGGCGCCCUGCCCCGCUUUACAAACGUAAUGCACCAGCUGGCGGUGCGCAAUUAGAAAACAACCAAAGAGAAGUCAAAAUAGAAAGGAGUUUCUCGCAUGCAUGCGUGCAUAUGUUUGUUUGUGUGUGCAAGCUUGUUUGCUAUUGAGAUAUGAAAGCAGGACAGCCGGGCAAUACAGUAUCAGAAAGUGGGUGAGAUGAAAGGUAGAUGGAUAUAUGUAUGUAUGUAUGUCGAAAUCACGCACAGCCGCCAUGCUGAGCAGGUGCGCCUUGCCGUGCGAUCGUAAUCAGCGGAUCGUAAUUACGGAUGUUGAGAUGGGGGUUGGAGAGAGACACACAAACGAUUAAGAUUCGAAUCUGACGCUCCGGAUCCGGAUCCGGGUCAUGACGGGACCUGGUCCGGGUGCAGCAAUUGCGCAGACUCUAGAAAUCCACAAAGUUCAGCAAGCGCCGCAAUAAUCUGGUGCAAGUGGUGGUCGCAUACCGCCAUACACACACCACAGCCGCGCCGACAACAUAGUUUGAUGCCCAGCGAACACCCUUCUCCCCACCUCCUCCUCCUGCACAAACUUUUGCCACAUAAAGAAUUAAUGCUCUGGUAGUGUACCUGCACCAGCACCACCUUCAACCACCACCAUCGGUGAUAUGACGCAAACAGUGGCGCAAACAACCGCCAUAUCAAAAAACCGGUUGGCCACUUUUUGUAGAGUGUUCCGCGUAGAGAGAGACCGUCGCGUCGUUUCUUUACAAAAUUCGAACACGCGUAAAGUAGUAGUGGAACAUGUAUACGGCAUCUCCUUACGACGAUACGACGCAAAGCACGAAACGGUCUCUCGUCAACAGCCGCAAAAACAUUACCCUCCCCCAACCCCCCAACCCCUC